GCCUAAUACAUGCAGUCGAACGCGUUGGCCCAAUUGAUUGAUGGUGCUUGCACCUGAUUGAUUUUGGUCGCCAACGAGUGGCGGACGGGUGAGUAACACGUAGGUAACCUGCCCAGAAGCGGGGGACAACAUUUGGAAACAGAUGCUAAUACCGCAUAACAACGUUGUUCGCAUGAACAACGCUUAAAAGAUGGCUUCUCGCUAUCACUUCUGGAUGGACCUGCGGUGCAUUAGCUUGUUGGUGGGGUAAUGGCCUACCAAGGCGAUGAUGCAUAGCCGAGUUGAGAGACUGAUCGGCCACAAUGGGACUGAGACACGGCCCAUACUCCUACGGGAGGCAGCAGUAGGGAAUCUUCCACAAUGGGCGCAAGCCUGAUGGAGCAACACCGCGUGAGUGAAGAAGGGUUUCGGCUCGUAAAGCUCUGUUGUUAAAGAAGAACACGUAUGAGAGUAACUGUUCAUACGUUGACGGUAUUUAACCAGAAAGUCACGGCUAACUACGUGCCAGCAGCCGCGGUAAUACGUAGGUGGCAAGCGUUAUCCGGAUUUAUUGGGCGUAAAGAGAGUGCAGGCGGUUUUCUAAGUCUGAUGUGAAAGCCUUCGGCUUAACCGGAGAAGUGCAUCGGAAACUGGAUAACUUGAGUGCAGAAGAGGGUAGUGGAACUCCAUGUGUAGCGGUGGAAUGCGUAGAUAUAUGGAAGAACACCAGUGGCGAAGGCGGCUACCUGGUCUGCAACUGACGCUGAGACUCGAAAGCAUGGGUAGCGAACAGGAUUAGAUACCCUGGUAGUCCAUGCCGUAAACGAUGAGUGCUAGGUGUUGGAGGGUUUCCGCCCUUCAGUGCCGGAGCUAACGCAUUAAGCACUCCGCCUGGGGAGUACGACCGCAAGGUUGAAACUCAAAGGAAUUGACGGGGCCCGCACAAGCGGUGGAGC
rnacentral:rRNA from 2 species